rnacentral:rRNA from 1 species
UACAGAGGGGGCAAGCGUUGUUCGGAAUUACUGGGCGUAAAGGGCGCGUAGGCGGCCUGUUAAGUCGAACGUGAAAUCCCCGGGCUCAACCCGGGAACUGCGUCCGAUACUGGCAGGCUUGAAUCCGGGAGAGGGAUGCGGAAUUCCAGGUGUAGCGGUGAAAUGCGUAGAUAUCAGGAGGAACACCGGUGGCGAAGGCGGGUCUCUGGGCCGUAACUGACGCUGAGGAGCGAAAGCGUGGGGAGCGAACAGG